rnacentral:rRNA from 1 species
UACAGAGGUCCCAAGCGUUGUUCGGAUUCACUGGGCGUAAAGGGUGCGUAGGUGGUGGGGUAAGUCCGAUGUGAAAGCUCCGAGCUCAACUCGGAAAUGGCAUUAGAAACUACCUUGCUAGAGGGUUGGAGGGGGGACUGGAAUUCUCGGUGUAGCAGUGAAAUGCGUAGAUAUCGAGAGGAACACCAGUGGCGAAGGCGAGUCCCUGGACAACUCCUGACACUGAGGCACGAAAGCUAGGGGAGCAAACAGG